GCGGCCAUGGCGUCGGGGUGCCGGAUCGGGCCGUCCAUCCUCAACAGCGACCUGGCGGCGCUGGGCGCCGAAUGCAGCCGCAUGCUGGACUGCGGGGCUGAUUACCUGCACCUGGAUGUAAUGGACGGGCACUUCGUGCCGAACAUCACCUUCGGGCACCCCGUGGUGGAGAGCCUGCGCAAGCGGCUGGGCCGGGAGCCCUUCUUCGACGUGCACAUGAUGGUGGCCCGGCCCGAGCAGUGGGUGCAGCCCAUGGCCGUGGCUGGCGCCAACCAGUACACCUUCCACCUGGAGGCCACCGACGGCCCCGGCGCGCUCAUUAAGGACAUCCGCGAGAACGGCAUGAAGGUGGGGCUGGCCAUCAAACCCGGCACCGCGGUGGAGCAGCUGGCGCCGUUGGCCAACCAGAUCGACGUGGCCCUGGUGAUGACGGUGGAGCCGGGCUUCGGAGGGCAGAAGUUCAUGGAGGACAUGAUGCCGAAGGUGCAGUGGCUGAGGACGCAGUUCCCGUCGCUGGACAUCGAGGUGGACGGAGGAGUCGGGCCUGACACCAUCCACAAGUGUGCCGAGCUGCUCAGAUGUUCCUGACACUGAUUGAGAUUUGGAAUUAGAUAAACAGCUAUUGUUCCAUCGUUUGAGAGCAACAUUAUGAUGGUUAUAGUCUACAACAGAAAAAGCAAAUAUCAAGUGAACUUAUUCUCCGUGGCUGCAGUUCCAGGCAAUGCUGGUGAACUAUUUACAGCGGAAAAGGCAAACUUCAGAUUUUCUAAACGGAUGGACUCAGAGCUCCAGAGCCACUACUUCUACGCAUACAAGGAUGCAGCAGACACAACAGAGAAGGCCAGGAAACCUGGCAAUCUUUCAUCUUCAUGAACCUCAAAGGAAGACCGAGCAGUUCCAACUGGAACGCAGCGUUGUCUGCACUGCACUUCAGGUGAUGGAUGUGGGCUGUGAAUUCCCAAGGGAACUGCUGACACCCAGCUCUGUGACAUCUCAGUGGGUCCUGCAUUCACUUUGGUUAUCAUACCUAACACAGAGACAGUGACUGGCACCUGAGUUCUGUCUUAAUUAAAGCAGGAAAAAGUACCACCAUAUCUUCAACAUAGCAUCUCGAGGGACUUCUCACCCCCGAGGAAGGAAUGGUACAAGAAAAUACUAGAGAAUGCUUAUGAAAGUUUGCUACGCUGCCAAAGAAACCUUUCACAAAAGCUGUGAUGAGCUGAAGACAUUGCUGAGCUGCACACCAGAAGCAAGAUGUCAGAACUCCUGCAAUGAGCCAACCAUUCCUUCACGCUUCUCCUUGACAAAUACUCAAAGAACAAAUGUGUUUUGAUGAAGAAAUGGAACAGGGCUUUCCGAUUACUCUAAAAAUCAGAGCACAGUGACUCGCCAACUAAAACAGCUCUCUGCCCAUGAGCACACUGAAGAUCCCUAGUCUGAGGACAGCACCUGUGUAAUGCACAGGGGAUGAACAAUGGUCUGAAAGGCAAUCGAGAGAAUCUUAAAGUGGUAAUGCAGAAAUAAAAGCAAAUCUCAGCAGCCGCCCAGCUGAACAACUGACAGACCUUUGCCACCCAAAGGAAGUGCAGUCUCUAGCCACUAAGACAAAUCUUUCGGAAGGUGGAGAACGAAGAAAGCCAUCCCAAGCAUAAGAUAGUGGUAAAUUCAGAUGAGAGACAGCCCAUCCCCAGUGCAGUGUUAAUUCAGGCACUGACUCAACCUAUGCACACAGACAAAAGUCUCCAGCUUAAAUUAGGUGGUGCUUUAACUCUGCACUUGCUGGUCCAGCAGCACAGUUCAAACGCAGUGACUUUCAUGCUGGCAAGGCAGCAAAGCCUCUGCUAACACACACUACCAACAAGCCAUCGCUGCUGCUUGACUGCUUUUAACCACAAGAACAUAAAAAAGAGAGGGGGGAAAAGAAAGGAGUUUGCACUGAGUAAGAGACACCUAGCAGGUCUCCUGCCUCCUAGCAGCAGCCAAGGUAACAGUCUUGCAUCGGGGCAACACAGAGCUAAGUUUCUCCAGAAUAUUCCCCCGCCUUCCAGGCAGCCUGGGGAUUUCCCAAGCCAAAGGUGGUGCUGUGUCCUUAAUAAUGCUCUGUGGACUUUUCUGUUAGCACAACAAAACAAACUGAAUAACCCCUACGUGGAAAGAUAACUUCACUAAUUUGAAGGCUACAAGAAGAAAUAAAGCUGAAGGACUGGCAGUAUGAGAAACUGGACUGUCCCUUGCAAGAGGAAAAGAGACAACCCUCACACUGAACUUCAAUCCAAGUUUCAGAUUAUCAGCUACCCUCAGAGAAUCAGAAUUUCACAUCAGUUUUCCCUGCUCAGUUCAUGUAAUAACAAGAUAAGAAUCCUGGAGGGAAAGGUGUUACUCAGAAGUUCAAACGUAUCAGCCAGGAGAGGAACGUUCCAUCUCCAACACUGUUAACAGCUAGAGAUGCUGGUUCUUCAUUAGAAUAUUUCAAAAGGAGAAAAGUAUUUUUGCAGACUAAAAUAUUUGAGUUGAUGGUAACAGCUGGCAACACAUAAUGCUCUGGGCUGGUCUCUGAUGUGGUGUUUACCAUUCUGACAAUAUGCAAAAGAAAAUGAAAAACUCUCCUCCUGUUUUCCAGCUCUACAGCGUUCAACCAACUGCAGCAGUGAUUUGACAGAACCACGUUGCACUCAAGCUUUUAUAACAGAAGCUGUAAACACAUAACAUGGCACAGCUGUUUAAUGGAAGAUGAGGCUUCCUUGACUUGUUCUGAACACUGUGCUGUUGAAGAAAGAGACUACAAUUUGUGUUUGUUUUUUUUCUUAAUAUUUAUUUUUCCAUCCAUACUAGUGUCACUCGGUGCUUUUCAGAAAGUCCCCGAAAGCAGGGACUGUAUUAGGAGAUGAGGAAAACAAAAACAGUCUUGACAUCAAGCACUAGAGAUGCUGCUGCUAUAAAGUCAUCUUUACAGACCUUCGGAGGUGCUCCUCCUCCUCUUCACCUGCCCGAAAGGGAAAGAAGCUGUGCUUUCAAUGCUUUCUACAAUUUCUCAACAGGAGAUACUGUGUUGACAGCAUAGCCAAAUAAGAAAUAACAAAAUAAGAGGCUGUAUUUCCAUCACCAUUCCUGGGACAACUUUACAGCCCACUUGUCUUAGCCAUGGCCGAUUCACAAAGCUAUGAUAAUGUGUAUUGACAGGUUCUCUGACAAUGUAAGAGACACACAGAACUGCAGUAUUAGCAAAUUGUAUUAGCUUUGCUCUGGUACUUCUUGAAAAAGAUACCAGAAACAACAAAAACGAUCCCUCACAUUUCAAAACAACAAAGAACAACUCAUCAAGUAAAUCAGCAUUUAAAAAUUAUAGUUCAAAGUAGAAGACUUUUUCAAUAUACAUCCCUCAAAUACAGCUUGGCAUCUGCACUGAUGCUUAUACUUAAUCACCUAAUAAUGGAUUUCAAGACUGUAACACUGACUAUCUCUCCAUAAUUUAGUUUGAUACUAGCCACAAGUAUCAUUUACUGCACUGCUAUCACUACCUAUUGUGAUUUACAGCAUAAUCCAAGUAUAGAAUAAUCAGUGUUAACGUGAUGCACGCUUGAUUCAGCACAGUACAACAUCCCACUCUCUGCAGUAACAUAACUGCUGCUUAAGCCCCGUACAGUUAAAAGUUCUUACUUUCUGCGUGGAUCCUGCCAAGCCUAGCUCACAUAGGCAGUCCUGCUGAUUUCAGGAGGACUACCUACAGAGCGAGGUUACUUAGACAAGAAGGAAUUUGCAGGUCUACACCCCUCCAGCUUGAUUUAUAAGCAUGAAGCACAUGAGUCUAAGCAGGAAUUUAACACUUACGCUUCCACAGCUGUUCUUACAGUCUGUUCAUCAUAGUCUUCAUCUGAGCUGCUACACGUUGCAUCAGAGUCCAGAUCCUUUUCCACACGAGACAGCAGCCCUCCAGCAGAAAGCGCAAACCCCCGGAUUUCCCCCGGUGCAACACAAACUCCAUUCUGUACAUCCGCACUCGAACUACUUUCCAAAGUAGCUGCAGUGUUUUCUGGCCAACCUUCCGCACACCUGAGGGAGCUACUGCUCGAAAACCUGCCUGGCUUGUGUAAAACCUUCAUUCUUUGAAGCUGAUGUUUUACGAAGCACUUCAGCUGCUGAUCACAGUGUUUGAUAACAUGCUUUGCCAGGAGCAUUUGUAAACGUUUCUGAGUUCUUUUGGCGCGGCUGAUCUCCAUUUGUUGCUUAGUGACACACUGGAGUAAGCGAGCAUACAUCUCCUCCCGGGUGCAGCUCAAAAUCCCUUCUGAAGGCCCGUGAAGAAUUUGGUGUAAUAAAUCCCCUUUUAUUGUUUCAGCGCAGACUCCCAAAGCCCUACCCAAAAAACCAUUCUUCUUGUACCACUUAUCAUUUAAGAGCCGCAUUUCUUCUGCGUUGCCGGAUUCAGUUACAUUUGAAUCCAAAAGUCUUUGCGUUUCUGCCAAAUUUGGAGAUGUGGUCUCAGAAAAAGCUUCCCCUUUGACCUGUUGCUCAGGUCCUGAAUGACUGAUCUGACCAAACGAUGCAUCGGUGCCAUUAUGCAAUGCAUUUCUCAUCCUGGAGCAGUCAGGCUCUCCCGAUUUCAUUUGCUUACCGGUUUUGCUGCUAAACGCAGAAUUCGUACUCAUUAACAAGACAGACUGAUAGUGCUUGGAGGAUGGUGGGGAAGCAAAAUGCUGCACACUGAAGAUAUUAUUCCUGAGGCUGGGCUCAGCAGUGGGGAACCCCAGGACUGAGCAAGUAAUCCGUGCGAUGGAGUCCUCUUUUAUCUUCUCUUCCACCGCUCUGGAAUUUUCCAUGCACAAAGUUGUAUCAGACUCCAUAGCUCUAGAGGACAAAGAAGGUGACAAGUGGAUACCAUGACCUUUUGUUGCUGCCUCUCUGAGGGCUGGUGUCAUUAUAGCUACUGUAGGCAGUUUACAGCAAACCUGAAAACAACAUGGGCCAUGUCAAUUUUCUCAUUUUCAUGACGUGAUACAAAUACAACAACUCUGUCAGGUAUUUCAUUCUUUCAGCAUUUAAACAUUAAUCAAAGACAUCAUAUAAAAGGACAUGAUCUAAAGACUACAGACAGAUUACACAACUCCAAAGCAACUAAGAAUGCUAGUCUUUCUUUAAUACAUACAGAAGUUGUUCCAUGUGCAAUGAAAGCAUUCACCUCUCAGAGGAGUAAGUGUUCAGACCUCCUUGCAUUUCUGAUCCUAUCAGAAAGGAUAAGUUGAGGGAACAGGGCUUUUUUAGCUCGGAGAAGAGAAGGCUCCGGGGAGACCUCAUUGUGGCCUUCCAAUACUUGAAGGGAACAUAUAAACAGGAGGGGGAAUGGCUGUUUAUGAGAGUGGAUAGUGAUAGGACAAGGGGGAAUAGUCUUCAACUGAGACUGGGGAGGUUUCGGUUGGAUAUGAGGAGGAAGUUUUUCACACAGGGUGGUGAGGCACUGGCACAGGUUGCCCAAG